AAUGAACGCUGGCGGCAUGGAUUAGGCAUGCAAGUCGAACGGUGAAGCGGGACUUGUCCCGUGGAUCAGUGGCGAAAGGGUGAGUAACACGUGAGCAACCUGCCCCUGUGUCCGGAAUAGCCUCUGGAAACGGAGAUUAAUACCGGAUGUGGAUGGGAGCCUCCUGGCUCCUUCUCUAAAGAUUUAUCGCACAGGGAUGGGCUCGCGUCCCAUUAGCUUGUUGGUGAGGUAACGGCUCACCAAGGCUUUGACGGGUAGGUGGUCUGAGAGGAUGGUCACCCACACUGGGACUGAGACACUGCCCAGACUCCUACGGGAGGCUGCAGUCGAGAAUCUUCCGCAAUGGGCGAAAGCCUGACGGAGCAAUGCCGCGUGAGGGAUGACGGCCUUCGGGUUGUAAACCUCUGUCAGAAGGGACGAAUAAAUGACGGUACCUUCAGAGGAAGCCAUGGCUAACUACGUGCCAGCCGCCGCGGUAAU
rnacentral:rRNA from 1 species